ACGGAGAAGGCUAUGUUGGCCGGGCGACGGUUGUCCCGGUUUAAGCGUGUAGGUGUGUGUUCCAGGUAAAUCCGGUUCACUUUAACACUGAGGCGUGACGACGAGGCACUACGGUGCUGAAGCAACAAAUGCCCUGCUUCCAGGAAAAGCCUCUAAGCAUCAGGUAACAUCAAAUCGUACCCCAAACCGACACAGGUGGUCAGGUAGAGAAUACCAAGGCGCUUGAGAGAACUCGGGUGAAGGAACUAGGCAAAAUGGUGCCGUAACUUCGGGAGAAGGCACGCUGACACGUAGGUGAAGUGAUUUACUCAUGGAGCUGAAGUCAGUCGAAGAUACCAGCUGGCUGCAACUGUUUAUUAAAAACACAGCACUGUGCAAACACGAAAGUGGACGUAUACGGUGUGACGCCUGCCCGGUGCCGGAAGGUUAAUUGAUGGGGUCAGCGCAAGCGAAGCUCCUGAUCGAAGCCCCGGUAAACGGCGGCCGUAACUAUAACGGUCCUAAGGUAGCGAAAUUCCUUGUCGGGUAAGUUCCGACCUGCACGAAUGGCGUAAUGAUGGCCAGGCUGUCUCCACCCGAGACUCAGUGAAAUUGAACUCGCUGUGAAGAUGCAGUGUACCCGCGGCAAGACGGAAAGACCCCGUGAACCUUUACUAUAGCUUGACACUGAACAUUGAGCCUUGAUGUGUAGGAUAGGUGGGAGGCUUUGAAGUGUGGACGCCAGUCUGCAUGGAGCCGACCUUGAAAUACCACCCUUUAAUGUUUGAUGUUCUAACGUGGACCCGUUACCCGGGUUGCGGACAGUGUCUGGUGGGUAGUUUGACUGGGGCGGUCUCCUCCUAAAGAGUAACGGAGGAGCACGAAGGUUGGCUAAUCCUGGUCGGACAUCAGGAGGUUAGUGCAAUGGCAUAAGCCAGCUUGACUGCGAGCGUGACGGCGCGAGCAGGUGCGAAAGCAGGUCAUAGUGAUCCGGUGGUUCUGAAUGGAAGGGCCAUCGCUCAACGGAUAAAAGGUACUCCGGGGAUAACAGGCUGAUACCGCCCAAGAGUUCAUAUCGACGGCGGUGUUUGGCACCUCGAUGUCGGCUCAUCACAUCCUGGGGCUGAAGUAGGUCCCAAGGGUAUGGCUGUUCGCCAUUUAAAGUGGUACGCGAGCUGGGUUUAGAACGUCGUGAGACAGUUCGGUCCCUAUCUGCCGUGGGCGCUGGAGAACUGAGGGGGGCUGCUCCUAGUACGAGAGGACCGGAGUGGACGCAUCACUGGUGUUCGGGUUGUCAUGCCAAUGGCACUGCCCGGUAGCUAAAUGCGGAAGAGAUAAGUGCUGAAAGCAUCUAAGCACGAAACUUGCCCCGAGAUGAGUUCUCCCUGAGACUUUAGGUCUCCUGAAGGAACGUUGAAGACGACGACGUUGAUAGGCCGGGUGUGUAAGCGCAGCGAUGCGUUGAGCUAACCGGUACUAAUGAACCGUGAGGCUUAACCUUACAACGCCGAAGAUGUUUUGGCGGAUGAGAGACGAUUUUCAGCACUGAUUCNNNNNNNNNNNNNNNNNNNNGCGGAUGAGAGACGAUUUUCAGCACUGAUUCAGAUUACAUCAGAACGUAAAAACGGUCUGAUAACAGAAUUUGCCUGGCGGCAGUAGCGCGGUGGUCCCACCUGANNNNNNNNNNNNNNNNNNNNUAGCGCGGUGGUCCCACCUGACCCCAUGCCGAACUCAGAAGUGAAACGCCGUAGCGCCGAUGGUAGUGUGGGGUCUCCCCAUGCGAGAGUAGGGAACUGCCAGGCAUCA
rnacentral:rRNA from 1 species